GCCCCUGCCCACUGCUGCCCGCCACCGGCCUUUAAACCGCCUGUCCGCCCAGAGACCUCAGCGCUCGGCAGACAGCCCGGCCACGCCAGGCCAGGCCGGCCCAACCCAACCCAGGCCAGUCCGACUAGCCCGGCCGUGGCGAUUCCCGGGAGGAUCUAGGCCCACUCCGCGGGAACCUAGCGCCCGGAUCCGGCCUUAGCGGUAUGGGCCUUGAGCCCCAAUCCCCCACCCAAGACCCCGCCCCGCCUCAGCACCGGUCUCUGGCCUAAAAGGGGUGGGCCCUCCUUCCCAGACCUGCCCCUUCCCCCACCGACACCGCCCGGCCACGGAGCCCAGCCUCGUAGGGAACCGCCCCUUCAGCCCAGACCGGGCAGCGUGGUUCCAUUUAUACCUUCCUGAGAUGACCAAAUGGUUCGCUCUCCACUAGGAAAUGUCUGACACCUUCCCUGUAACCUGGUGGCAGCAACCUUCAUGGUGGCAUAAAGCAAUUAACUUGGAAUCCAAGAAGCCUAAUUAAGAAUGACCUCAAAACUGAAAACAUCAGCAUGACAAGUGAUAUCUCCUAGACUGUAGGAAACAUUGAAGCAGGAAUGGAAAAUUACUGACCCAAGGAAGGACGGGUACUUAGAAAGAAGCUGAUAGCUUAUGCUUCAAAGGAGAGAAAUGUGAGCGAGGAAUAUUUGAACAUUUGAACAUCCUGUCCCACUAGCUGGAGACAGAAAAGGGAGAGGCAGUUAUCUUUCAUGCUGAUCCAAGAAGGAAGUUAGGUGGUCUGCCAAGGUCAAUCUGUGCUCUGCACAUGGAAGGGCUAAUGACCAUCUAGGCUGUCUGCCUACCUUGGACAUGAUUGAAUGUUGAAGAAUGAAGAGUCUGGCACCUUUGGGGAGACCCUGGGCAUUAGGCUCUGGGCUGGUACAAAGAAUGAAUGCUGUCAAAUAGCCUAUUUUGUUGUCUAAAAAGAUGGCCUGACAUAAAUGUGAAACGUGGAACUCUCCUUGGUAGCCUCCAUAUUUGCUAAGAAAGGGAAAAAAUAAAAAUAUGGGGAGAGGAGGAAUAAGCUAUAAG
rnacentral:lncRNA from 1 species